GGAAAUUGUGUGCUCAUAGCACUUAAACUAUUGGGAAUCUAGGCUUCCUCUGCAGCACUUGACAUGGCAAUUCAUGUCUGUGGAAAUCCCUGGUAGUUGGAAGCUGGCUAAAGCUAGGGUUCUCUUAUUCAUUGGUUAAGGGCACCACUUUCAGAUAAAAACAUAGACCUGAAUAGCAUCAUCCAGUAUCCAAGGAAACCAUGCAAGUCAUGCUUUUGUCUGAGGGACUUGGUUCCAUCAGCAGUAAUGGAGAAGCAGAAUGGAUGAGAUUGACUCCACCAUCACUACCCCAAUGACAUGUCCUGCUCACAGGUGCCUGUAUGAAAUGCCUUAACCAUAUGAAGCAUUUAUUGUGUAAGAAUGAGUACAUAUCAAGCAUCAGGAGUCUGGUGUUUCCACAGCACACUCUAAUGUUCCUUUCUGCCUGAUCCUCCAGGGCCAGCCUACAACCUGUCUGCUGACUUGGAAUGCAGGAACCCAGAAGCCUAUGAAGUGGCAUAUGUUCAAGAGAAGCCUAGAACCUGAAUCCCUGUGGAGAAGGCAUCUUUGCUGUAGCCCUGUAGGCUUUCAUAUACAAAGCAAUAAACUUUGUUUCUUAGGUCAUUGAAGUUUUGAAGUACAUUUAUUUUGUUAAGUAGUGUACAUUAAUAAGAACAUGUAUUUCAUAGAACAAGAUUUCUUCCGUUUUGUCAAAGAAAUGAAAUCAGACAAGUUGCUGUUGCAGAGUUGGGAGAAGUAGUACUCUACCAA
rnacentral:lncRNA from 1 species